rnacentral:rRNA from 1 species
GACGAACGCUGGCGGCGUGCUUAACACAUGCAAGUCGAACGGAAAGGCCCUGCUUUUGUGGGGUGCUCGAGUGGCGAACGGGUGUGUAACACGUGUGUAACCUGCCCUUGACUUUGGGAUAACUUCAGGAAACUGGGGCUAAUACCGGAUAGGAGCUCCUGCUGCUUGUUUGGGGUUGGAUAUUUUCGGCGGUUGGGGCUGGUCUCGCUGCUUAUCAGCUUGUUGGUGGGGUAGUUGCUUACCAAGGCUUUGACGGGUAGCCGGCCUGAGAGGGUGACCGGGCACAUUGGGACUGAGAUACGGCGCAGAAGCCAACGGGAGGAAGCAGUGGGGAAUAGUGCACAAUGGGAGGAAGCAUGAUGCAGCAACGCAGCGUGCGGGAUGACGGCCUUCGGGUUGUAAAAAGAUUUAGAAUGUGACGAAGCGUGAGUGACGGUAAUGGGUAAAGAAGCACCGGCUAACUACGUG